rnacentral:misc_RNA from 1 species
AACCUUACUGUUACGUUCUACGGAAAGUGUGUGUGACCCGCUUAAGGCAGAGAAAAACGUAGAGUCGUACAUGUCGUAGAGUGACGUAGAGUAUACUAGUGAUGAAGAAAGUGCAGCGGCAGAGAAAAUUUCUUGGAAUAUCUUUGAGUGCUACAAAAAAUAAAAAGAUGUCAGAUCAUUUUGAUUAUUGUAAAACUAUUGCGGAUGUAUCUGACGAAAGCAGUAUAAUUGACUGUGAUAAUGAUUGUGAUCCUACAUGUAUUACUAUUAAAGAAAAGACUGGUGAUGAGCUUCUCAUUGAAUUAUAUAGAGAACGCCCAUUUUUAUAUGAUAAAAGUAACAUUAAUUUUAAGGAUUGUAUAAUGAAACAAAAUGCUUGGAUUGAAAUAUCUAAAAUAAUGAUCCAAACUUGUGGUGACAUGUAUACUCCUUCGUAUUGUCAAAAAAGAUGUAUUUCAAUGAGAGAUCAAUAUAAUAGAGACAAAAGGAAGACUGAAACUGAAUCUAAAAGUGGAAGUGCUGCUACUAAAUCUACUCGAUUUCCUUUCUUUUCUCAGUUAGCAUUUUUAGACAAUGUAAUCAAAAGACGAAAAAGCUACACUAAUUGCACAAAAUCUCAACCGAGUGUAAUUGAUGAAGAUAGUAGUACCGAGUCAGAAAAUGUUGCAAGUGGAUCAAAUAAGGAAAAUGAAAGUGUUAACGAGCAACACAUUUAUAAUAUUAAAUAUGACAAAAACAAUUAUGCACCAAAGAUGAAAAAACGAAAGAUUGACGAAACAAAAGAAUUAGAACAAACAUUAAUGCAAAUGAGUCAUAGAAUAUCAAAUUAUAUGGAAAAACUUCAUAUUUAUUUAUAAAAAUAUAAGUUAACUAUACAUGUUUUAUCCUUCUGACAACAUCUAUUGUAAUGAUCUAUAACAAAUAUGAAUCCAUAAACAAGAAGUGUUUAUGGAUCACCACGAAGCGUUAGAAUGCGUAUGGUCUUCAAAGUUAAGCGACAUCGGCGAGGGUUGACACUUGGAUGAGUGACCGUUUUUUCAGGGUAUAUUACGAUAUCUCAGGAAAUCCCUUGGACAUCCUCUGGAUAUCGUUUGAGAUAUCUACA